GACGUAGGGCGCGAGCGUUGUCCGGAUUUAUUGGGCGUAAAGAGCUCGUAGGCGGCUUGUCGCGUCGGCUGUGAAAACCCGUGGCUCAACUGUGGGCGGGCAGCUGAUACGGGCAGGCUGGAGUUCGGUAGGGGAGACUGGAAUUCCUGGUGUAGCGGUGAAAUGCGCAGAUAUCAGGAGGAACACCGGUGGCGAAGGCGGUUCUCUGGCAAUGUUCUGACGCUGAGGAGCGAAAGUGUGGGGAGCGAACAGG
rnacentral:rRNA from 1 species